rnacentral:lncRNA from 1 species
GGAACUUCUGUCUCUAGACAACACCCUAGGAGUUUGACAACAUUCCUAUGAUUUAUUUGGGUCAGAACAACUACCUCAUUAAUGAAUUGCUCAAUUUGAUUUGCGUCAAUUAUUUUGGAUUUUUUUACAGCGACGAUUUUGUUGUCAGGUAAAACUCCUUUGUAAACUGUACCAAAACCUCCUCUGCCAAUGAUUAAGCUUUCAUCGUAGUUUUUGGUGGCUUUCUUAAGUUCCUCUUCUGUGAAUAUUUGAGCUGCUUGCGAAGUGUCUUCACUUGUAGACAGUUGUUGUAGCAAAAUGGAACCACCAUUUUUUUGAAAGAAUUUUUGCUUGAGCUUGAUGAGUUUCCUUUUUUGGUAUGUCAAGUAUAGAGAAGAAAUCACCACAAAUAGAAUAAUGAUUCCAGCACUUGCUCCUGCGUUUGAAAUGAGUUGAAAUUGAUUGAUUCAUGAGUUGUUCCAUAAAUUAAUAUUAAAAAAUUAAGUUUAUGAAAUUUAAAAUAAAGAUUGUUAUAGUAUGGAUGAUCGAACUCAAGUAUUCUUCAUCAAUUUGAUCUUAUCUAGAAAUAAAUUAGGGUUAUGUUAGGUGCUUACCAAUGGCAACCUUGGUAAUAACAUCUCGUCUAUGACACCCUCCUUCCUUUGUUCCAUUUCCAGAUUGUCCAUCAGGACAGAAACAUUCAUAGAACCCAUCCUUGUUGCGACAAUGAUCUUCAUUUAUGCAUGUGUUAGUUGGUGACUUACAUUCAUCGAUGUCUGCAAACAUGUAUACAACAGAAAUAAUGGUAUUGCCAUAAAUAAAAUUUGUAUAUUAACGAGAAUGUGAAAUCACUUGAGUUGAUUUUUUUAAGGAAAAUCACUUGAGUUGAUGUUUAUUUGUUUAUAUGUACAAAGAAAAGAUGUCAAGAAUGGGUGUGUUUGUUUUAACAUAAAAAAUAUAUAUAUAUUUUUCAGAAAAUUUGAAGCUAUUUGUGUUUGUUUAAUUACUUUUCAGAAAAUUCACAUUUUUGAAAGAAAAAAAAUUAAAUAGUUCAUGUCUUACCUCCUUAUGUUUGAAAAAAAAAAAAAAAAGAUUUUGAGAAAAGCUAAUCUUAAUAGCUUUUUAUUUUAAAGUCGAGAUAAAUUUUUUUGAUAAAAUGAUUUUUCUUAAAAUUCUAAACAAACACUUUUUUUUUUUUUUUUAAGGGUAAACAAACACUUAAAAAUGACAAAUUUUCUUACUAAAAUAAUAAUUUUUUUUCCUAAAAAAUCUAAAUCAAAUGGGACUAUUAAUAUGUGAAAUACAUAUUUUUAUUUUAUCUCACAAACUUUAAGUAACACUUUCGUCCUUUAUUUUUUUUUUUCUCUCUCGAUUUAGUCCUUUAUAUUAUAAAAUGACAACAUAGUUAUCCUUUUUAUGAAAAAAAUCAAAAACUACAAAAAAAAAUCAUGAAACUCAUCAAAUUUCAUUAAAAAAAUCUCAUAAAAAUGAUAAGAUAUUGUCAUUUUAGAACUUAAAGGGCUAAACAAGCCGGCCCUAAUUUUCUCUCACUAAGUUUUCUCAUCCCAUUUCUUCAUUGGGGGGUGGUUUUGGGUCAAUUCUUGACCUGAAAUCACCCCUCUUCAUAUUUUUUUCUCUAUUUCAAUCUAAAUAAGUGACUUUCACAUAGAUCUAGGUUUUUUUCUUUGUGUGAUUUUAUCAUCUAAGUGUGGUGGUUUGUUGUUCGUCGUCUUGUGCGGCGUUGUUUGCUUUCCCGUCUUCUUGCGGUGUUCAUUUUAUUCCUAUUGAAAGAUCGAUUAUUCAAUCAAAGAUUUGGACGUCAACGUUGCAGAUCCGGAGGCCAUAGAUAUUCCGGUGACUUUAAUUUUAUCAUAUAUUUUUAUAGGCAUUAUGCCGCUAUUUGCUAUUAACUUGGAUGAUGUGAGUUUGUUCGCAGAUUCAUCCUUUACGUUUUUAGCGGUGUUGAAUGAUGUAAUCUCUCAAUUUGAAUGAAUGAAUAUCUUUUUAUUUUUGUCAAAAAAAAAAAAAAAGAACUUAAAGGACUAAAUUGGAAAAAAAAAAAAGAUAAAGGAUUAAAGUGUUACCUAAAAUUAAGUUAAAGGAUGAAUUGUGUAAUUUUGUUUAGAAUUAAAUAUGUUUGGAGUACACUAGCGUGUCCAGGGCCGUCCCUAAGAAUUCGGAGGCUCGGCUCUGGGAAUGAAAAGAGGCCGGUGAUAAAUUAAAAAUGUAUUUUUGUUUUAAAAAACAAUGUUCUAUUUAUAUUUUUUAAAAGAUAAAUAUAAGGUGCCGUAUAUAUGCGGUACAUCCAAAGGUGAAAAUGACUACCGUAUACAUGAGGAACCCCCACCUAACACCAAAAGUAAGAGGACCUAAUUCUAAUAGGCCUAAAAGACUAAAACAAGGGGACAGAAAAUGGCUGGGGAUAUUAAAAAAAAUUGGAGGGCAAUAAUACUAGUGGGUAUUAAAAAAAAAUUGAGGCCCAUGACUGAGGGAGGCCCAACUCUGUUGAGCUGUUUGCACCCCCUCAGGGCCGGGCCUGAGCGUGUCUAACAUCAAUGUCCGUGUGACUCAUUUUUUAUUGAUGUCUGUGAGACCCUUCAAUGAGAGAUGAAUGGACAGUUUUGAUUUGCAAUGUGUAAAAAUCACCCGAGAGGGGAUCUUGUUCCUUGUCUAAGAGUGAAUAAUACAUUUGAAACAAAAUUAGUGUAUUAGAUUACAAAAUUACAUAAAUAUGAUGGGGAUCAAUAUUUAAAUUUUGGACCUAAAAAAUAUGUGGAUAAAUGUGUUGUAGACCAAAACCUUGUAGUCAAAGAUUUUGUUUGAGAGCUUGGAGGGGAGAAAUAUAUAGAAAAAUGAAAAAAUCAAUGACAUUUUUUUAAAGAACAAAUUUUUAGAUAAUGAUAAACUAAUGCUUAUGAUUAAUAUAUUUUUAAAUUUAAAUAUAUUAUAAUUUUGGAUUUAAAAAAUUCAUAAACGAAUCCUUCCAAAAUCUUUAUCCAAUACAAUUUUUGAAUUUCCUCAAAUGAGGAGGAGAAUGUUAUAUUAUGAAUAAAAAAUUAACCCAUAAAGUCCUCUUAUUUCAAUGUCUUCUAUUUUUUCUACUUGAUUCUUCUUCUUUUUUUUUUCAAAAAUGCUCUCCUCCCCUCCCCUCCAAACUUCCAAACAGAGCCAAAAGUGAGUAAGAUUCAUAUAAGAGGUUAAAUUUGUCCGAUAAUUUUUUUUUUAGGGGCCAAUAUACCAAGUAAAAUAUGGACCAUAUAAAAAUUAAUAUAUAUGUGGGUUGGGGUUUGAAUUCUAAACACUCCAUUUACUUAUCUUAAAAAAAUGAUUUUUUAUCAGGCUACUUGACAAAAAAACCAAAAAAAAAAAAAACUUUGUAUACUAUUUGGGACGAAAAAUAUUUAAAGUGAAGAAAAAAAAAAANUAACUUUGAUCAUCAGGUUUCUAUUUCUGUUUCUAUUUCUAUUAUUUAACAUAGAUUACAUGUUUUUUUUCUAAAUAGCGGUGUUACACUGUUACUGGUUUAGUUUAGGCAUCUCGUGAAUUUGUGAACGUGCAUUUUUUCUAAAUAACUUAUUACUGUUUGUUAAUAUUCAGAAGCUUGUUAUUUAAACUUGGUUAUGUUUUGUUUUCUAGGUUCACAACCAUGUUUUGUUUUCUAACUUAUUACUUUGCAUUUAUAAUUAAGUCUAUAUUUUUCACUAUUGAUCUUUUUACAGUAUUAUAUUAGCUUACAUAUGUCAUGCAUAUAAUAAAUUGUAUAAAAUUUCAAUUUUAGGUAAACUCGUGCGAGUUUAUGAUUCGAGUUUACGAGUCGAGUUUACCUAGGUAAAACGAGUUGAGGUAAACUCUCGAGUUGCAAAACCUUGACUAGAACCACUUUGUUAUUGAAAAAUUAAAAAAUUGUAUCGAUUUUAUUUUUUAUCAUGCAAACCUUUGAUUUUUUAUUAUCUUUAGUCAUCCACUCUUGUAACUUUAUAUUUUUGUGGUUAUUUGGUAGAGUCAUUUCAAAUCUUACGAAUUCUCAUAAAAUACUUUCAAAUCUUAAAAAAUCUUGGAGUUAAAAUCUUUUGAAAUCUUAAAAGUCUUUUAUAAAAAUCUUGAAAGUUAUACAUUCCUACACAAUCUUUUAAAAUCUUCAAGACUUUUUUUGUUAAAAUAGUCUUUUAAAAUCUCAAUCAAAUACAUCCCCUUAGGCAAUAUUUCUUUGGUUAAGAGAAUAUGAGCAGAUUGUUUGUCUGGAAUUGAGUAUAGUUAGCUUGUAUAUACGAAUUUGACCUUUUAAUAGCACUUUGUAUGAUAACCCUAUUAAAGUUAUAUUCUAAGAUAGCAUUUCUAAAGGAAAACGCUAUUCAACCCUGUCCAAAUUAUCAUUUCAAAGCGCAAAAAUGCAUAAUACAAUAGCGCUUUUGGAAUAACCCUACUAAAAGCAAAGCUUUUGAUAGCACUUUAAAAUUUCUAUUAAAAAAGGUAUACUUAUAACGGCAGCUUUAAUAGCACUUUUAAGUGUUAUUUAAAGGGAAAAAAGUGCUAUUAAAGUCUCUUUUUGGUGUAGUUAAACCUGUAACAGUCCGAUUUUUAGCUAGUUUUAUUUAAUUACUUUUAUUGUGUGAUUGUAUGUGAUUAAUUGUGCUUGUGUGUAUUUAAUUGUCAUUGGGUGCAUUUAANAUUCUAAACACUCCAUUUACUUAUCUUAAAAAAAUGAUUUUUUAUCAGGCUACUUGACAAAAAAACCAAAAAAAAAAAAAACUUUGUAUACUAUUUGGGACGAAAAAUAUUUAAAGUGAAGAAAAAAAAAAACCUUUGUAAUAUUGCCUUAAAUAAUAUUCAGAAGAAGGUGAAGAAAAUUACCUGUGCAGCCAUCUGGAUGAUACGGAUUUCCUUCAUAACCAUGCUUACAUUUACAUCGGUAACCAAAAUCAAUGUCCUUAUCAUAACAAUCACUAUUAUUCCUGCAAGCAUAAUCAUCUUCAUUCUUUGAAGCAUUACAAUAUUUACUUCCAACACUCCAGUCAAGAAUCAUAGGAAGCCUCUCAUAAGGAAAAUUGUCCAAAUCAGAAACAGUGAAAUUAUAAAAUCCAUUUUUAACAACAAACGAAUUGCUACAUCCCAAAGAUUCGUUUAAAUCGAGAUAAUUAGAAGCUUGUAUAGUUAUAUUCCUCAUCAUAGGUGGAAUAUCAACUUGACAACAACCAAUACCCGAACAUGCUCCGUUUUCAAUUCUGUUUCGAGUACCGUUGCAUAUUGUUAAGCAGCCGGUGUAAUAUCUUUCUUUGUCGUAAAUGCUUCUGAGAACACCGAGACUGUUACAACCAACUGUUAAGAACUUAUUUUCUCUGGGUGAUAUGCUGACCCCGGAAGUACUGCCUAAUCUGGCGAAAUGAGUUACAUUUUCGCUACCACAAUAGCUAGAAACGAAAAACCACGCUUCAACGUGUCCUUCGAUGACGCUUAUGUUGGAAAUUUCUAGAUUGCCCCAAAUUAAUUUUUUGUCAUUCUCACAUAUGAGUUCAAAUUUGCGCUCUAGGUAACAGGGACCUUGAUUUGGUAUUGAUGAAUUGGAUAUUCCAAAUGGAUAUGGAAUUUUUACAUUUCCACAUGUGUCUUUGCACCCAGGUAGGGAUAAAGAAAAGGAUUCAUUGGAUGCAAAUACUAUUGUGACCAUGGAUAUUGUAAGUACUAAAAUUGUGCAUAAUUGCGUGAGGUUUGUGUUCUGUUUCAUUGCGUGUAUUUCAAAUGAAUAGUUCUUGCAUUGAUUUUUGAAGCAAAUGAGAAGAGGGUUUCAUUUAUUUAUAAAUGAUAUUUUUUUGGGAUUUUGACUGCUAGUUAAUUUUGUUGACUUGGAACGAAGAUUGACUCGGUAUGGUCGCAUAACAGUAAGCUCUACAUAUGUAAAAGAUAGUCGAAAUAAGUAAGGAAAUUUCUACGAUACAUUUAUAAGUUAAGGUGGAUUGGUACUCUUAUUUUAAAAAUUUAUAAAUUAACUAUCAUUUUUACAAAAUAAAGAGCUAUUUGUGGCUAUUUAUAAGUCAGAAAAUAUCAUUUCAUAAUAAAAAAUAUUAUUUCAUUGUUUAUAAAAAUCAUGCUAAUUUUUUUUACAUUUUAUCAUAAAAAAUAAUUAAAAUUCGAUAUUAUAAAUAAUAAAAAAUCGGAAAAGUUAAAUUUUAUUUCGUCGAUCUUUUUUUGUAAAUAAAAUUUAAUUAGGUGAUGGAAAAUAAAUUUUUUUCAAAAUAUAACUGAUUUAACUUUCAAAAAGUAAACUCAUUUAACAAAACAAUAUCCAUCAAGGUGUACGUGACCACAUAACUCAACACUACUAAAAAAACUAAAUUUAGUGAGGAAAAACGUAAAAUCCCUCUUUAAUUUCGUCACUAAAUUUUGCGACCAAGAAAUUUGUGAGGAAUUUCAUUUUUUCCGUUACUAAUUUCCCUCGCUAAUUUUGUUUUUUCUAGUAGUGCAAUUUGAAGCAAAUUACUAUUACACCACGACAAGAUGGCAAUGGGUAAGAAGACGGCAACGAUAUUUGUUCACCAAGUUUGACCCGAAUUUGACUUACCUAUGGAGGAGAGAGAUUUCUACAAUUUAUUAUCAAAGAGUUUCUUACAAAAAGAUAAAAGAGUUACAAAAAAUUAGUCUUCAACAAGUUCUCUAAAAACAAACUCUAAUUUCUACUCUUUACCUAAAUAUUCUCUCGUGGCCAAGAGACUCAAAUGUCAAUGUGUUUUUUUCAAAUGUUUCCUAACCCAAGUUUCUAUCCUAAAAGGAACCAACCUUAACAAUUGAUUUCCUAAGGAUUAUUUCUUUUAAUAAACCCUAGUUUGCCUCACUUCAACUAUUUUUUCAAAAUAUAAGAAGCACACUAUAUAUAUAGCAUUAGACUUACAUUUAUUUGCAUAAGUUGAUUUUCCAAUUAACAUAUAUAAGCUUAUCAAUUUGUUUUUGAAGUUUAUUUUCAUAGACUACGUUGACAAGCUUAUGAAUAAUACAUAUGGUUAUCUUAAUUGAUAAUCUUCUCCCUUAUCCCAGCAGACCCUAAUUUAUUUGAUAGAUCAAUUCUUCGAAGCAAGCAUACAAAUAUUUUCCUCAUUGUAUACUCGUGAAAGUUACCGUGAAGUUCCACAGAGCAGGAGAAGGAUUUUUCUCUCUACAUUAUUUAAAAAUAGGUUAUACAAAUAAAUAAAUUUUUAUGUUAAUUUUAGGUUUUUAGUAACAAAACUUAUAUUUUUAUAGACUGUUUUUUUUCUUCAUAAACUACAUUAACAAGCUUAUGAAUUAAACAUAAAAAAAAUUAUUUAUUUGCAUAAGUUGUUUUACAUCGAAGAUAAACAGUUUUGAGAAAUACAUAACAGGGAGGAGAUUACCAUCUAAAAUAAACUUAUCAAUGUGUAUUUCUCAAAGUUUAUUUUCAUUAUCAGAGACUAUUCCAAAUGUAACCAAAAAAAGAGACGUCCAAAGUAAAAAAUUGUCUUUCUCUGCGUGAAAGUCACAGUGAAGGAUUUUUCUCUGUACAUUAGUCGUGCCCAAAAUUGCCGUUCGUCUUUUAUAGCCACGGGAUUAUUAUCCCAUAUAUAAGGACAAAUUCUAUUGAAGUGUCAAAGUCUUUAAGCCGUUGCUCUUGACUUUUCCUUUUAUAAGAGAAAAAUUAAAUUACGGGACAUACUCCUUCGUAGAAAAUCAUGGAAAUAAUAUAUAUAUAUAUAUAUAUAUAUAUAUAUAUAUAAAAGAUAAGGGAAUAUAAUAUCCCUGGUGACUAGAACUCACACAAUUUAAUUAUGGAGAAGUGAAGUAUUCAGGGUUCGAACCUCGAUCCCUGAAUAUAAUAUAUAAUAUUGUUAUCUCGAUUUUGGGGUGUCAAGUCAUUAAUUAGGCUUGAACCUUUCAAUCAUUGAUAAUCUCUAUUUUUUCUUGGGAAGGGUAAAAUUGAGAAAAAAAACCCUUAGAAAUUCUAAGUUUGGGGGUCGUUUUCGUUACGGGAAGGUGUUAAGCACCCGAAACGACUAUAGUACUCUAUAGGAACCGUUUUCCUAAUUUUAUGUCUACGCUUUACUUUUAUGCUUAUUUAUUGAAAAAAAAGAGUUUAUUUAGGUUAAAAAUGGAGGGAGAAAAUGUUUGAGAUUUUAUUUUAUUGGACUUGGAGAGGUUUUGNGUCAGGUAAAACUCCUUUGUAAACUGUACCAAAACCUCCUCUGCCAAUGAUUAAGCUUUCAUCGUAGUUUUUGGUGGCUUUCUUAAGUUCCUCUUCUGUGAAUAUUUGAGCUGCUUGCGAAGUGUCUUCACUUGUAGACAGUUGUUGUAGCAAAAUGGAACCACCAUUUUUUUGAAAGAAUUUUUGCUUGAGCUUGAUGAGUUUCCUUUUUUGGUAUGUCAAGUAUAGAGAAGAAAUCACCACAAAUAGAAUAAUGAUUCCAGCACUUGCUCC